rnacentral:lncRNA from 1 species
ACACACUGUGGUAACGAUAACUUGGCUCUAUACACACCACUGGGUAACGAUACACUUGGCUCUAUACACACACUGGGUAACGAUAACUUGGCUCUAUACACACACUGGGUAAGAUAAUUGGCUCUAUACACGGGGGUACCCAGUAUUGAGUCAGUGUGUAGGGUACGAGGUAAGGGGGGUCCUAUGUAGAAAGUCUGGGUAGCUGCUGGCUAAACUAUUUAUCAGUCAUUACGGCUUGGGAAGAAGCUGGUCAGGGUCCUGUUGGUUCCAGACUUGGUGCAUCGGUACACUUGCCGUGCAGUAGCAGAGUGAGAGAACAGUCUAUGACGGGUGGCUUAGUCUGACAAUUUUUAGGGCCUUCCUCUGACACCGUCUGGUAUAGAGGUCCUGAUGCAGGAAGCUUGGCCCCAGUGUAUGUACUGGGCCGUACGCACUACCCUCUGUAGCGCCUUGCGGCGAGGCCGAGUGAAGUCCGUACCAAGCGGUGAUCCAGCCAGUCAAGAUGCGCUCAACUGUGCAACUGUAGAACUUUUGGAGGAUCUGGGGACUCAUGCCAAAUAUUUUCAGCCUGCGAGGGGGAAGACGCUUUGUCUGCCUUAUUGUUCUGUGUCCCAGUUGUUACAGCCUUCUGUCUGUGUGCUCCAGCCUUCUGUCUGUGUGCUCAAGCCUUCAUCUCUCUGUGUGUUCCAGCCCUUCUAUCUAUCUCUGUUGCUCCAGCCUUCUACUCUCUGGUGUUCACCUUCUAUCUCUUGUGUGCUCCAGCCUUCUAUCUCUCUGUGUGUUCCAGCCUUCUAUCUCUCUGUGUGUUCCCAGGCCUCUGUCGUGUGUUCCCAGCCUUCUAGUCUCUGUGCGUUCCAGCCUUCUAUCUCUCUGUGUGCUCCAGCCUUCUAUCUAUCUGUGUGUUCCAGCCUUCUAUCUCUCUGUGUGUUCCAGCCUUCUAUCUCUCUGUGUGCUCCAGCCUUCUGUCGUGUUCCCAGCCUUCUAUCUGCUCUGUGUUGCUCCAGCCUUCUGUCUGUGUGCUCCAGCCUUCUGCUGUGUGCUCCUAGCCUUCUAUCUCUCUGUGUGUUCCAGCCUUCUAUUCUCGUGUGUUCCAGCCUUCUGUCUGUGUGUUUCCCAGGCGUUCCGUGGUAG